rnacentral:misc_RNA from 1 species
CGCGGCAGGGCGUCUCACGCUCGAUCGCGCGACCGAGGCGAGGGCCGAGAAUGAACUACUACAACCAGCAGCAGGCGCCCGUGACAGCGUACCCGCCGGCGACCGCGCCCCCGCUUCCGGCGGGGCAGCCGUACGUGCAGCCGCCGCCGACGCAGGCGAGCCACGUGCAGCCCGCGCCGCCGCCGGGGUACCCUGGCAGCUUCAACGGUGGCAUGAUGAACCCUCCGCCACUCCAGGUGGUGGCGCCCCAGACGCAGAGCCGCGGCGACAAGACCUUCUGGGAAGGAUGCUGUGCAGCCCUUUGCUGCUGCUGCAUCCUGGACAUGUGCUGCUAAGCAAUCCCGGAGGAAGCAAUAGACCAAAAUAGUACCUGGAAGUAUCGAACGAACUACGGCAUGCUCUCCAU